rnacentral:lncRNA from 1 species
CACCCUAUUCUUAUGGUCCUUAUUCUCUAAUGGCACCCAAAAGUAAUUGGCACAAAGUAAGAGAAACUCCCGUACAAGAAAGAAAGACCAAGCAUCAAAAUAAUCUUUGAGUUUCUAGAGCAAGAAAAAAAUUUAAUUGGAUAGAAAAUUAAGAGACUGAGCUAAGAAAUUCUAUCCUUUUGACCUAUCUAAACUCAGUUU